GUGAGGAAUAUUGGUCAAUGGACGAGAGUCUGAACCAGCCAAGUCGCGUGAAGGAAGAAGGUUCUAUGGAUUGUAAACUUCUUUUGUAAGGGAAUAAAAAAGAGUACGUGUACUCUAUUGUAUGUACUUUACGAAUAAGGAUCGGCUAACUCCGUGCCAGCAGCCGCGGUAAUACGGAGGAUCCGAGCGUUAUCCGGAUUUAUUGGGUUUAAAGGGUGCGUAGGCGGACUUAUAAGUCAGCGGUGAAAGUUUGCAGCUUAACUGUAAAAUUGCCGUUGAAACUGUUAGUCUUGAGUGUAAAUGAGGUAGGCGGAAUGUGUUGUGUAGCGGUGAAAUGCUUAGAUAUAACACAGAACACCAAUUGCGAAGGCAGCUUACUGGGAUACAACUGACGCUGAGGCACGAAAGCGUGGGGAUCAAACAGGAUUAGAAACCCUUGUAGUCC
rnacentral:rRNA from 1 species